UUCUCACAGACUCAAAGGUGAAAAGCAAAACCUGGAUGCGGCCAUGAGCCGCAUCUAGGAAAAGAAACACCUGCGGCGGCUCCGUGCUCCCCGUCCCCCAGGCUCAGUCCUCCCCGGACACCCCUUUCACAGGCACAGCCAGGGGACACGCGUCCCCUCAGCUUCACAGAGAUGUGUCUGCUGUCGUGUUGCGCUGCACAGCGUCCGGGAGCACGUGACAUCCGACGGGCAAACCCACCCACGAGUUACAAUCCUGAUGCUUCUAGGACAGGGCCAGCGGUGACAGGAUGUGUAUGGGUGCAGAAACCUCCGAGACCCUGAGACACUUGAGAAGUCACUUCUGCGUAGUAGGGCUGGGAUGGGUGAGGGAAAGGAAUUUUACUUUUGUUUUCUAGCUUUUCCAUGGCUUGAUUUUUUAACUCUAUGCAGAUUACUUUUAGGAUGAAAGACAAAAAUCUUAAGUCUUUCAUCACAACAGGAAAUCUAAGAGCCAGGGGAAACUUGAGCACUCAGGCCUAGCACCAAUGCCAACGGUCCUGCAGGUCUGCUGUGCCCCGGCUGCCUGGGGUCAGAGACAUGCCCACCUGCCUCGCCUGCUGUCCUCCGUCUC
rnacentral:lncRNA from 1 species